ensembl:lncRNA
CUAUUGGAGGAGGAGGAGAUCUACUUCAUAGACAGGGUCUAUUGGAGGAGGAGGUCUAAUUCAUAGACAGGGUCUAUUGGAGGAGGAGGAGGAGGAGGUCUAAUUCAUGGACAGGGUCUAUUGGAGGAGGAGGAGGUCUAAUUCAUAGACAGGGUCUAUUGGAGGAGGAGGUCUAAUUCAUAGACAGGGUCUAUUGGAGGAGGAGGUCUAAUUCAUAGACAGGGCCUAUUGGAGGAGGAGGUAUAAUUCAUUGACAGGGCCUAUUGGAGGAGGAGGUCUAAUUCAUAGACAGGGUCUAUUGGAGGAGGAGGAGGAGGUAUAAGUCAUAGACAGGGUCUAUUGGAGGAGGAGGAGGAGGAGGUCUAAUUCAUAGACAGGGCCUAUUGGAGGAGGAGGAGGAGGAGGAGGAGGAGGUCUAAUUCAUAUACAGGGCCUAUUGGAGGAGGAGGUCUAAUUCAUAGACAGGGUCUAUUGGAGGAGGAGGAGGAGGAGGAGGUCUAAUUCAUAGACAGGGCC